rnacentral:rRNA from 1 species
GGAGCCUGCCGCUUAAUUUGACUCAACACGGGGAAACUCCACCAGGUCCAGACAUAGUAAGGAUUGACAGAUUGAGAGCUCUUUCUUGAUUCUAUGGGUGGUGGUGCAUGGCCGUUCUUAGUUGGUGGAGUGAUUUGUCUGGUUAAUUCCGAUAACGAACGAGACCUUAACCUGCUAAAUAGUCACUGUUAGCUUUGCUAGCAGCUUGACUUCUUAGAGGGACUAUUGACGUUUAGUCAAUGGAAGUUUGAGGCAAUAACAGGUCUGUGAUGCCCUUAGAUGUUCUGGGCCGCACGCGCGCUACACUGAUGAAGUCAGCGAGUUCACUCCUAGGCCGGAAGGUCUGGGUAAUCUUGUGAAACUUCAUCGUGCUGGGGAUAGAGCAUUGCAAUUAUUGCUCUUCAACGAGGAAUUCCUAGUAAGCGCAAGUCAUCAGCUUGCGUUGAUUACGUCCCUGCCCUUUGUACACACCGCCCGUCGUUACUACCGAUUGAAUGACUUAGUGAGGACUCGGGAUUGGUGAUUAGGCUGGCAACAGAACUAUUCACUGAGAACUUGUUCAAACUUGGUCAUUUAGAGGAAGUACAAGUCGUAACAAGGUAUCCGUAGGUGAACCUGCGGAUGGAUCAUUACUAAAGUAUCCAUCCUACGUUUUGUGAACUGUUUUGACUAUCAUAGUCAGUGUCUGGUGUGCUGUAACGGCCAUCGAUGCUGACUACACUGAAUGUAUAUUUAAACUGACUGAGAGUACUAUACUUAUAGUAACCAAUGAGAACUUUUAGCAACGGAUCUCUUGGCUCUCGCAACGAUGAAGAACGCAGCGAAAUGCGAUAGGUAGUGUGAAUUGCAGAUACCGUGAAUCAUCAAAUCUUUGAACGCACAUUGCACUGUCUGGAACUCCGGGCAGUAUACCUGUUUGAGUAUCAGCUACUCCUCUCACUAUCAGUUACCUUGGUAGCCUAGUGAGGACUUGAGUCAUCAUGGACUAUCCUCGGAUAGCCUGUGCGACUUUAAAUAGCAGUACCAGCGUCCCUAGGAUCGCUGUUAUCUUGCAGAGUUGAUGGCCUUGUGCCUAAUCCUGUUAGGGUAACAGAUCGUAUACCUAGUGGUUAAACGUAGCUGGAUUACUAAACCAUACAGUGAUCAGUAGUUAACUGAUUGACUGUGACUUUGAUCUCAAAUCAGGUAAGAUUACCCGCUGAACUUAAGCAUAUUAAUAAGCGGAGGAAAAGAAACUAACAAGGAUUCCCCUAGUAAUGGCGAAUGAAGCGGGAACAGCUCAAAUUUAAAAUCUCUUAGGAGAAUUGUAGUUUGUAGAGGUGCUAUCGUUGGCAGCCUGGGUAUAAGUCCCUUGGAACAGGGCAUCAUAGAGGGUGAGAAUCCCGUCUUUGAUCCAGGUACUGUCACACUGUGAUGCACUCUCAAAGAGUCGGGUUGUUUGGGAAUGCAGCCCAAAGUGGGUGGUAUAUUCCAUCUAAAGCUAAAUACAGGCGAGAGACCGAUAGCGAACAAGUACCGUGAGGGAAAGAUGAAAAGAACUUUGAAAAGAGAGUUAAAUAGUACGUGAAAUUGCUAAAAGGGAAACGAUUGAAAUCAGUGUUGGUUGCAGGGAAUCAACUAGUCAGCAAUGGCUGGUGCACUUCUCUGUAGCCAGGUCAACAUCAGUUUUGGAUGAGGUAAAUUAGUGUAGGAAGGUAGCUCCCUCGGGAGUGUUAUAGCCUGCAUGACUGCCUUGACUGAGACUGAGGACUGCAGUGCAUGCUUUCGGGCAGACGAACCAGGUGCUGCCGGUUGGCUGGGUAGAGACAGCAUGCUGACUCUGCGCAGUCCGUCGGUACCCGCUUGGCUAGUACUAAUGCGCUAAGGAUGUUGACUAAAUGGUUUUAAACGACCCGUCUUGAAACACGGACCAAGGAGUCUAACAUAUAUGCGAGUGUUUGGGUUGAAAGCCCAUACGCGUAAUGAAAGUGACUAGAUGGGAUCCUCUUGCAGGUGCACCAUCGGCCGGUCUGGACUUUUAAUGAUAGAUCUGAGCUAGAGCACAUAUGUUGGGACCCGAAAGAUGGUGAACUAUACCUGAAUAGGGCGAAGCCAGAGGAAACUCUGGUGGAGGCUCGUAGCGGUACUGACGUGCAAAUCGUUCGUCAAAUUUGGGUAUAGGGGCGAAAGACUAAUCH